GAUGAACGCUGGCGGCGUGCCUAAUACAUGCAAGUCGAACGAGGUGCCUUUGUAGCAAUACGAAGGUAUCCUAGUGGCGAACGGGUGAGUAACGCGUUGGUGACCUACCCCAAAGUGUGGGAUAACAGAUCGAAAGAUCUGCUAAUACCGCAUGUGGUCUUCGGAUUUAGAAACUGAUGACUAAAGGAGCAAUUCGCUUUGGGAGGGACCUGCGUCCCAUCAGCUAGUUGGUGAGGUAAUGGCUCACCAAGGCUACGACGGGUAGGGGACCUGAGAGGGUGGCCCCCCACAAUGGAACUGAAACACGGUCCAUACACCUACGGGUGGCAGCAGUAGGGAAUAUUGCACAAUGGGCGAAAGUCUGAUGCAGCAACGCCGCGUGUGCGAUGAAGGCCUUCGGGUCGUAAGCACUUUUCUGAGGGAUGAGCAAGGACAGUACCUCAGGAAUAAGUCUCGGCUAACUACGUGCCAGCCGCCGCGGUAACACCAGAC
rnacentral:rRNA from 1 species